rnacentral:pre_miRNA from 1 species
AAAAAGAUAAACCCUAGGUUUCUGUGUUCAACUUUGACUGUCCGUCUUAUAUAAAACUUUUUUAUAAUUCGUAUUUUCAUUGUUGUUAGAUGAUAAAAUAUGAUUAAUAUUUUUUACGUGACUUGUCUUUUUAAUUUUUUUCAUAAUUUUUUUAAAUAAGAUGGACGGUCAAACAUUGGACACGGAAACCAGGGUUUGUAUUUUAG